UACGUAGGGGGCAAGCGUUGUCCGGAAUUAUUGGGCGUAAAGGGUGUGCAGGCGGUCUGUUAAGUGCAGGGUGAAAGCUCCCGGCUCAACUGGGAGAGGUCCUUGCAUACUGGCGGACUUGAGGGGGGUAGAGGAAAGUGGAAUUCCCGGUGUAGUGGUGAUAUGCGUAGAUAUCGGGAGGAACACCUGUGGCGAAGGCGGCUUUCUGGGCCCUACCUGACGCUGAGACGCGAAAGCGUGGGGAGCGAACCGG
rnacentral:rRNA from 1 species